rnacentral:rRNA from 1 species
GACGUAGGAUGCGAGCGUUGUCCGGAUUCAUUGGGCGUAAAGAGUUCGUAGGCGGUUUGUUAAGUCUGAUGUUAAAGGCACGGGCCCAACCCGGGUACUGCAUUGGAUACUGGCAGACUGGAGUGCAGUAGAGGCGAGUGGAAUUCCCAGUGUAGCGGUGAAAUGCGUAGAUAUUGGGAAGAACACCGGUGGCGCAGGCGACUCGCUGGGCUGUAACUGACGCUGAGGAACGAAAGCUAGGGGAGCAAAUGGG